rnacentral:rRNA from 1 species
CGGAUGCGAUCAUACCAGCACUAAAGCACCGGAUCCCAUCAGAACUCCGAAGUUAAGCGUGCUUGGGCGAGAGUAGUACUAGGAUGGGUGACCUCCUGGGAAGUCCUCGUG